rnacentral:rRNA from 1 species
CCUACGGGUGGCAGCAGUGAGGAAUAUUGGUCAAUGGUCGCAAGUCUGAACCAGCCAUGCCGCGUGCAGGAAGACGGCUCUAUGAGUUGUACACCUCUUUUGUACGAGAGUAAACGCAGAUACGCGUAUCUGUCUGAAAGUAUCGUAAGAAUAAGGAUCGGCUAACUCCGUGCCAGCAGCCGCGGUAAUACGGAGGAUUCAAGCGUUAUCCGGAGUUAUUGGGUUUAAAGGGUGCGUAGGCGGUCGGAUAAGUUAGAGGUUAAAUCCCGAGGCUCAACGUCGGAAUUGCCUCUGACACUGGUCGGCUAGAGAGUAGGUGCGGUAGGCGGAAUGUGUGGUGUAGCGGUGAAAUGCUUAGAUAUCAUACAGAACACCGAUUGCGAAGGCAGCUUACCAGGCUACUUCUGACGUUGAGGCACGAAAGCGUGGGGAUCAAACAGGAUUAGAUACCCCUGUAGUC